GUGCUCACUUCAGCAGCACAUAUACUAAAAUUGGAUCGAUCCAAAAAAGAUUAGCCUGUCUCUUGCGCGAGGAUGACACGCGCUUUCUAAGACUUCCAUAUUUUU